GAACGCCGGCGGCGUGCUUAAGACAUGCAAGUCGAACGGAGCGCUUGUAGCAAUACGGGCGUUCAGUGGCGAAUGGGUGCGUAACACGUAGGUGACCUGCCCCGGAGCGGGGAAUAACAGGCCGAAAGGCUUGCUAAUACCGCAUGCGGCCGUUGGGUUUCGAAGCCAGCGGCCAAAGCUGCGCGCAAGCGCGGCACUCUGGGAGGGGCCUGCGGCCCAUCAGCUAGAUGGCAGGGUAACGGCCUACCAUGGCGACGACGGGUAGGGGACCUGAGAGGGUGGCCCCCCACAUUGGCACUGACACACGGGCCAAACUCCUACGGGAGGCAGCAGUCGGGAAUAUUGCCCAAUGGACGAAAGUCUGAGGCAGCAACGCCGCGUGCGCGAAGAAGGCCUUCGGGUCGUAAAGCGCUUUUCGGUGGGAUGAGGAAGGACAGUACCACCGGAAUAAGUCACGGCUAACUACGUGCCAGCAGCCGCGGUAAAACGUAGGUGGCGAGCGUUAUCCGGAUUUACUGGGCGUAAAGCGCGUUCGGGCGGCUUGACAAGUCGGGCAUGAAAUCUCUCGGCUCAACCGGGAGAGGCUGUCCGAAACUGUCGGGCUUGAGGGCAGUAGAGGCGGGUGGAAUUCCGGGUGUAGUGGUGAAAUGCGUAGAGAUCCGGAGGAACACCAGUGGCGAAAGCGGCCCGCUGGGCUGCCCCUGACGCUAAAACGCGAAAGCUAGGGGAGCGAACGGGAUUAGAAACCCCGGUAGUCCUAGCCAUAAACGAUGUCGACUGGGUGUCGGCGGACUAAACCCCGCCGGUGCCGGAGCUAACGCGUUAAGUCGACCGCCUGGGGACUACGGCCGCAAGGUUAAAACUC
rnacentral:rRNA from 1 species